AAUUUUUGCAGGGCCUCAAAGCUAAGAGUUUGCCUUAAAUCUCAGAGGAGACUUUGAUCAUAGACUUUUCAGCAAUGCUGAAACUGUUCGGACUUUGGCAACUCUUAGAGAUGGACUUCAUUUAUUAUUCAUAAAUGAAUGUGCAUGAGUCUUUUGGGGCCCAGGGUGGAAUGUUAUGGCUUGUAUCCUGAUAUGCAGCUAAAUUCUCUUGUGCUCAAAGGUGGGGCUUUUGGGAAGUGGCUGGAUCUAGUGUGUGUAUAUGGAUUAAGAGUGUGUGAUUGCUGAUUUAGUCCAAUGAUGGGUUUGGCAUAAUUCUGGGUGUGAUUAAUGGGAGGCACCACCCAAAAGGCUUGUAGCCUGGUUGAAAUAUGAGGGGACAAAGAAAGAAGAUGGGUUCACUUCUUUGCUACCUCCUGGGACUGCAAGACAUUGCUCAUUUAUUAAGUUAAAUUUUAUCAAAAAUGUUUGUUCCUCUUGUAGAAUAGUUGUGGAAUGAGUUACUUGCAGUCCAAAGUUUAACAAAAGCUAGCAUCCUGCCUUGUCAACAUCAGUAGACUCAUCAACAUGGGGUUUUACCAUGGUGACUCAUUAAUCCCUAUAUUUUUGCUCCAAUAUCUUUUGCUAUUUUAUCACAAACUGCCUUGGAAGCUGGAUAUGGACAUACAGGACCUAAUGUUUGUCCUGCUGGACUUUGAACUUGCUUUGCUUCCAUUCUUUUCUCUCCCCCUAUUUGGAAUGGGAAUGUCUAUUUUGGGCCAUUGUGAUUUGGGAGUGUUUAAUUUUCUUUUCAUUUUCACAGGGGUUUGCAGUAAAUGUUUGUCUUAAAUCUCAGAGACCACAUUAGACUUAGACUUUCCAGCAGUCUAAUGGGACUUUGGCAACUCUUGGUGAUGAGCUAAACUCCUUUUACAUAAAGAAAUGUGCAUGAGUCUUUGGGGGGUUCAAGGGACCCAAUGUUACAACUAAUGUCUAGAUCUUCCCCCAAAGCCUCAUGUGGUUAUAGGUGGGACUUUUCACAAGGGGCUGUAUCUAGAGUGUGUGAUGCUAGGAUUAAGUGUGUGAUGCUAGGAUUGAGUGUGUGAUGUUGGGAUUGAGGCUGUGUGAUUACUAAAUUAGUUCACUGGUUGGUUUGGCUUAGCUUUGGGUGUGGAUCCUGGGAAGGGCCAACCUGAUUGUGAGGGCUACCGUGGAAAAUGGGUGUAGCCUGGAUAUAAUAUAAGAUACAGAAAGAGGGCUGCUGUUAUCACUUGCUACUUUGCUGCCUUCUGACCAUUGUGGACUCAUUCUCUUCUGCAAUGCCCCUCUGCCAUGCCACCCUGUUUUGUAAUCAGCCAAGUAUGAAUUGAAAUCUCUGUGAGAUGUGUGCUACAAAAAUCUUUCCUCUUUUAACUUUGGGUGCUGGGCAUUUUGUCUCAGCAAUGCAAAAAGUCACUAAGACACAAAUAAUCUUGUAUGAUUUGAAGAACAGUGAUAUAAGUCUCUUAAAAUUGUAUGAUUCCAUUUACUCCAUUCUCACACUUUUCUCAUCACAUUUUAUUUCUCUAUUAUAACCCCACCACAGAGCAUUUUAUUUUAAAUAUUCAAUAGUUUUUGAAAUUGAUUUAAGUGUAUGUAUAUACAUAUAACAACUUUGCAAAGGGACUUUUUCUAUUUAUCUAGAUAAUGACCAUUACUUGCUAUUCACCUUUUCAAAAAGAGAUCACAUCAGCUAUCUGGUACAAUUUUCUUGAAAUAUUUUAGCAUUCUUGAAGUAAUGCUAAACUCUAAACAUAACAUUUCAGUUUGUUCAAAGUAAUAUCUUCA
ensembl:lncRNA